GAUGAACGCUGGCGGCGUGCCUAAUACAUGCGAGUCGAGCGAACGGACGAGAAGCUUGCUUCUCUGAUGUUAGCGGCGGACGGGUGAGUAACACGUGGAUAACCUACCUAUAAGACUGGGAUAACUUCGGGAAGCCGGAGCUAAUACCGGAUAAUAUUUUGAACCGCAUGGUUCAAAAGUAAAAGACGGUCUUGCUGUCACUUAUAGAUGGAUCCGCGCUGCAUUAGCUAGUUGGUAAGGUAACGGCUUACCAAGGCAACGAUGCAUAGCCGACCUGAGAGGGUGAUCGGCCACACUGGAACUGAGACACGGUCCAGACUCCUACGGGAGGCAGCAGUAGGGAAUCUUCCGCAAUGGGCGAAAGCCUGACGGAGCAACGCCGCGUGAGUGAUGAAGGUCUUCGGAUCGUAAAACUCUGUUAUUAGGGAAGAACAUAUGUGUAAGUAACUGUGCACAUCUUGACGGUACCUAAUCAGAAAGCCACGGCUAACUACGUG
rnacentral:rRNA from 1 species